rnacentral:lncRNA from 1 species
CUCGGAACGUCCAGUGAGAUCGGGUCUCCACUGCACAUCCUCCGCGUCAUUUGAUUCUUAGUGUUUAUGCAUUGAUAUUUUCACUGACGUCACGGUCUCCAUCAGACCCUGUGCUCAAAGAGGCGGAGGCCCACAGCUGUGGAGGAUGGUGGGAGCUCCAUGUUUAUUAGGUCUUACCAUGUCUGCUGACACACCAGAUUACUGUUUACCAUUAGCGAGAGAUCAC